UUUUUCUUUCUAUCCCAAAUAAAUGAUACAAAGAGAAUGAAUUUGUGUACCAGCAAUUAGAAAUGGCUAAGUAACAUAUCUACUACUCUUUUCAUAUAUAUUACAAUUCAUUUUCUCCAAAUGACUGAAAUAGUUGGAUUAAUUUUGUCAUCGUUCUUUCCAGGAAUUUAUGCACUUGCAACUGUCUCGACUGAAUCAGAUGAGAGAGUUGUAAUGAAUCAAACCACAUAUUACUACACCAGCAAGCAAUGUCCUUAUUCAUUGCUUCAUAAAUAUGUUCGAUACCAAGUUUUGGCAAGUAGCUCAGCUGCAUCCUAAACACGUAUUUUUCUGACACAGAUAUGGCAUGGAGGCCAUCUACUUUGAUGAAGGUGUAAGGAACUCAAGACGACACUAACUGGAAACGAGAGCAUUGGAUGUGACCAUUUGUGAGGACUUGAUAGCAGUAAAUAGAACAAA